UACGUAGGGGGCAAGCGUUGUCCGGAUUUAUUGGGCGUAAAGAGCGUGUAGGCGGCCGCACAGGUCCGUUGUGAAAACUGGAGGCUUAACCUUCAGACGUCGAUGGAAACCGUGCGGCUAGAGUCCGGAAGAGGAGAAUGGAAUCCUGGUGUAGCGGUGAAUGCGCAGAUAUCAGGAAGAACACCCGUGGCUAAGGCGGUUCUCUAGUACGGUACUGACGCUGAGACGCGAAAGCGUGGGGAGCGAACAGG
rnacentral:rRNA from 1 species